rnacentral:lncRNA from 1 species
AUCUUUAUCUGGAGAUCACUCCCCUUGGAGCCCUUCUGCUAGCCUAUGACACAGCACCUGUUGUCUCUGACUUUGCAUGUUACAGCAGCCACAAGGCCAGUCUGGGAUCAUCUGCUGGACCAGACAAGCUGCAAAGGAGCCCUGGCUUUUUUGUCUCCAUAAAAAUGACUUGAUAUCUCAUAUAAAAGACAGUGAAAAAUUUAACUUUUCUUCUUGAUUGGAAGUAGCAGUAUCAUUUGACAUUUCUCCAGUGUAGUUAAAUGACUGGGCAAGUACUGAGUCCAUUGCUACGAACUCCACUGGGAAUGAAAGAAAAUCUUUAUCAUUUGAGGCGACAGCCAGCAGAAGCCCUUGUUAUAGAGGAGAUGUCAGAGGAAUGUUUAACAGCUAUCUCUAGGUUCACCAUUAAAUCAUUAAGCCAUCGUGGAUCAAGGCUAUUAUCAGCCUAGGACUAUGAUGGUCUAAGAUGACAAUGAUAUAAAGCCAUCUACUCUACAUAAUUUGCAGCACUGGAUGACUCUCCAGAGCGUUGUCACAGAUUGAGACCACUUCAAUAAGUAGAUGCUACUUAAUGGUGCUUUGUUUUCUGUCAGCUGGGGGCUUUGCUGAAAGUUGGAAGGCAAAAAAAGAAACCAGUGAUUUGUGCAUAUUUACCAUCUAUACUUGUACAUCCUUGAUUGCUUGGGAAAAUGGGAUACCUUGUGCAUUCAAAAGCUUGACAAUUACAUGUCAUGUUGCAGUAACUGUGUUUGUAAUGUUGGUGGAACUUGAACACUAAAAAUGCAUUUAGUAGAGAAAGCCCAUCCCCCAGGAAGCUAUACAUUAUGGCUGUGCACUUCAAUAGAUUAGAACAAAAAAUAUCCUAAUGAUAUUACUAUGGGAUAAGGAGUAUUUCUAGAAAUUACUAGUUUAUUUUUUAUCCAAUUUUCUUCAUUAGAGCCAAGUUCUUAUGAAUAAUAAAUAAACAAAAAUCCUUUUUUUUGACCCCAAAGCACUCAUCUGUAUUUUCUUUUACUUGGCUUACAAGACCAAAUAUCUAUGUUGUGUCAUUUUCACAGAUGUUGCCUAAGCCUCAGUUACCUCAGGUGGAAAAAAUUUCUAAGAUAGGAAGUAAGGUGGAGAUAGUGUAAAAAAAAUCUCUGAAUAUCUGAAUGAAGCAGGGAGAAUAAAAUGAAAGGGUCCUCAAAGUUUGCUUAUAUUUGGUAGUAUGUUCAUUAUUCAGGUAAUUCACAAAAAAGCGCAAACAGAGGAGCCAGAAGACAUUGUCCAAGUUCAGUACAAUAAGGACUGAAUCAGUCAAGUUAUUUUUUGGGCAUUGAUGAAUGCUUUGUUGAUUCAAAAUGAAAAAAGUAAUUUUAAACGGUGAAGACUUCUGAUUCUCUCUUGAAAAACUGAAGGAGCCACUAAGAUUUCUUGAUAUGAAGAUCCCUCUUUGCCGUAAAUAUUUAAAUUCAUGUUCAGUCUGUGUCCAGCCCUUUGGAAAUAGAAGAUAUAAUUAAACAAUGUGGCUGAGAGCUAUUGCAUGUUCAAGGCUUCAAGUCUUCAAGAGGUUCACAUUUGUGUAUGAUUACAUUUACAAGUUAUUUUCUAAGAAGUUCCUGACCACUUGACAAUGGAAUAAUCUUAC